rnacentral:rRNA from 1 species
AUUGAACGCUGGCGGCAGGCCUAACACAUGCAAGUCGAGCGAGCGGCGGACGGGUGAGUAAUGUAUGGGGACUGCCCGAUGGAGGGGGAUAACUACUGGAAACGGUGGCUAAUACCGCAUACUAUCGGAUAACCCAUAUGGGAUUAGCUAGUAGGUGGGGUAAAGGCUCACCUAGGCGACGAUCUCUAGCUGGUCUGAGAGGAUGAUCAGCCACACUGGGACUGAGACACGGCCCAGACUCCUACGGAGGCAGCAGUGGGGAAUAUUGGACAAUGGGCGAAAGUCUGAUCGAGCAAUGCCGCGUGUGUGAAGAAGGUUUUCGGAUCGUAAAGUACUUUAAGCAGAGAGGCGUUAUCUAACGAGGAAGCACCGGCUAACUACGUGCCAGCAGCCGCGGUAAUUC